CUUGAGUCCUUUUCUUAAGGUUAGGUCACUAGAGGCUAUAAAUAGGAUAGUAUGGAAGCCUUGGCAUUCUUUUGCUUGUGGCUGCCGAAAUUAGAGAGAGAAUGAGAGAGUGAGAGAGGCGUGAAAGAGAGAGAAGGAGGAGAAGAAAGGAAGAAGAAGGAGGAGGUCUUAGGGUAUUCAAGGGUGAUUAUCACUUGGGUGUUGAUCAAGUUGUGUUCUUGAUUUUACAAUCAAGAGAGGUAAGGGUAAAGAGAAGGUCAACCAACCAUGAGUACAGUAGGCGUGAGGCGGCGUGUACAUGUUUGGCCAGCCUGGCUGCCACAGCCAGAGGAUUUUGGGAGAUGCUUGUAAAUAAACCUAGAUUUUGUCGUUUAGUCGACCUGGUUCAAUUUAAAUGUUGUAAAUACUUUUAAACUGUA